GCAGUGGCAAGAUCUCAGCUCACUGCAACCUCCACUUCCCGGGUUCAAGCAGUUCUCAUGCCUCAGCCUCCCAAAUAGCUGGGAUUACAGGUGUGCGCCACUGUGCCUGGCAAAUUUUUGUAUUUUCAGUAAAGACAGGGUCUCACCAUGGUGGCUAGGCUGGUCUCAAAUUCCUGGCCCCAAGUGAUCCACCCGCCUCGGCCUCCCAAAGUGCAUGAGACACCACACCUAGCCAAAUUUUCCAGUUUCUAUAGAAUUGUGUAAAUAUACUAAUAAAGCAGGAAUAUAACACACUUAAGGAAUAUAUCACACUUUAUUAGUUAACUUAGAGGCAAUGGGAUGAAAGGCAGACCCUGUAAAGGUCAUGAGAUGCUCAUUUUGCAGAGAAAAAAAAAAAAAAAAAACACUUUUCUGGACUAUAUAGGUGGAGGCAUUACCAGAAGAAAAAUAAUAAUUCACGGAUUUGUGUCUUUAACUGUGUUCCCUAGAAAUUGAUUCAGGGAUGGAGAAUUCCAUUUAGAAGAGUAUGGGGUAUACUCUCACCAAAGUCAUGCCUAUAAGGAAGUAAGGAGAAUAGAAGUGGGCAGAGGGAGAUCCUGACCCGCCAUGCAGCUGCAGCCAGGGUCUGAUCUGGCCCUACAUUCCAACAGGGUACUCUCAAGGUAGGAAGGGCCCUUCGCAGCGGCACCUCAUUAAGCUGAAAGGGAAAGACCUUUAUAUCCCUGUAGCAAUCAGUCAUUGUUCCAUAAGCCAGUCCCUGGGAAAUGGAGGAUAGAAACAUUGCCCUGAAGAGGGAUCCGAGUGAAUGCCACAGUUUCCACUACAGUCAUGUUUCCAUCCAAAAUAGAAUAAGAUCAUGCUAAUUUGAUUACAGGACCUAAAUGUAGAAGAUAAAUGCAUAUUAAAAUAGUAACUAGUAAGAUGAAUGAUAUAUCUUCCUUACCAAACUGAAACCUCCCAUAGGAAAACAAUUUGGCUGGUUAAAGUAAUUGAGGAUUCUCAGCUUAAAGAAGAGAAAAUGAUGAAGAAAAAGAAAUCAUGGUUUUAGAAAAAUCUCAAGCUGGGUACAGUGGCUCACAUCUGUAAUCCCAGCACUUUGGGAGGCCAAGGCGGGAGGAACACUUGAGGUCAGGAGUUCCAGACCAGGCUGACCAACAUGGUGAAACCCCAUCUCUAUUAAAAGUACAAAAAUUAGCCGGGCAUGGUGACAGGCACCUAUAAUCCCAGCUACUCAGGAGGCUAAGGCAGGAGAAUCACUUGAACCCAGGAGGCAAAGGUCACAGUGAGCUGAGAUCGCACCACUGUACUCCAGCCUGGGCAACAAAAUGAGAUUCUGUCUGGAAAAAAAAAAAAAAAAAGAAAAAGAAAGAAAGAAAAAGAAAAAUUCCAAACCAAGCCACCAUUUUUACAAAUGAGGAAAUUCUAGAGAAAUAACUUGAUUCGAGUCAUAGAGUUAUUGACAGAAUUGGAACUAAUAGCAGGCCUACUUAUCUCACUACUAGAUAGCUCACUAUUUCCUACAUUGGACUGAGCACUAUAGGAGAAUUUUUCAUGAGUAAUCUGACGUCCGCCCUCUAAAAAAAAGAUAACCUUCAUUCAAAUAAUAUGCAGCUAGUGAGUAGAAUUAGAUUUCAACCAGGAAUAGUAAAAUUAGAUUCUAACCAAUUUUAUUUUAGAGAGUGGAAGUAACGCUAAUAGUUAGAAUUUACAUAGAAACCAGUUUCAAAUGAAUGUAGAGCAAAGAUGGUUUCAAUUUAGAAAUUUCCAAUAAUUGAAUAGUCAGUACUAUGGUAUGUCCCAAUCCUGGAAAUUAUCAGUCAAAAGCUAGAUAACCACACUAAAAAGAGUAGAGCUAUAUAUGCUAGCUGUAUUCUGGCAGUGUACUAAGUAAUUUAUCUAGAUUAUCUACUGUAAUCUUCUAUAUAAUCUUGUGAGAUGAUUUCUUAUUAUCCCUAUAUUACAUGAAAGAAAAUGACCCAAUAGACUGCCCAAAGACAUUAACCCCUACCAUCUGCUGGUCCAGGCCACUAUCAUCUCUGGCCUGGAUUAUUACGUUUGCCUUCUAAGUAGUCUUCUUGCUUUCACCCUGGCCCCUGUAGUUUAUUCUCUAUGCAUAAAGGUUAAUUUUGUGUGUCAUCUUGGCCACAGGAUGCCUCCUAUAUGCCUCAUUUCUGGGCAUGUGUGUGUGUGUUUCUGGAUAAGAUCAGUGAUAUAGCUUGGCUCUGUGUCCCCACCCAAAUCUCAUCUUGAAUUAUAACCCCCAGAUGUUGAGGGAGGGACCUGGUGGGAGGUGACUAGAUUAUAGGGGCAGUAUCCCCCAUGCUGUUCCCAUGAUAGUGAAUUCUCACGAGAUCUGGUUGUUUGAUAAGUGUGGUGCUCUCUUUCUCGCCUGCUACUAUGUAAGACGUGGCUGCUUCCCCUUCCACCAUGAUUGUAAGUUUCCUGAGGCCUCCCCAUCCAUGCAGAACUGUGAGUCAAUUAAACCUCCUUCCUUUAUAGAUCUCAGGUAUUCUUUAUAGCAGUGUGAAAACAGACUAAUACAAUCAGCACUUGCAUCGGUAAACUGAGUAAAGCAGUUUACCCUCCCCAUUGCGAGCAGGCAUCAUCCAAUCCAUUAAGGGCCUAAAAAGAACAAAAGGAGGAAAGAAUUCGUCUCCCUGCCUGACUGCCUGAGCUGGGACAUCAGUUUUCUCCUGCCCUCGGACUGGGACUUAUACCACUGGCUCUCUUAGUUCUCAAGCCUUCAGACUUGGACUGGAAAUACACCACUGGUUCUCCUGGGUCUCCAGCUUGCAGAGAGAAGAUCAUGGGACUUAGCCUUCAUCUCCUACUACUCCCCCUACACACACACACACACACACACACACACACACACACACACACACUUUUCCAGCCACACCAGCCUCCUUUGCUGUAACAGGAUACACCAAGCACACUCCCAACUUAAGACCUCCAUACUGCUUCCCUCUGCCUACAACCCUCUUCUCCCAGAUAUCUGUAUGGCUUGUUCCCCAUUUCCUUCAGGUCUCUGCUCAAAUAACACCUUAUCACUGAGACUUCCCUGAUCAUCUAAUAAAGUAGAAGUCCCUCUUCCCCACAGCACUCCUGACCCCCCUCACCCUAUUUUUCCAUAGCACAAACCAUCACCUGACUUCUGUAUUUACUUGUUAGCAUCUAUGUCUCAUACGAAAAGUUGAGUUAUUUGAAAACCAGGGCUUAAUCUGAUCGUUCACCACUAUAUUCAAACCAUCAGAACUAUGCAAGACACAGCAAAUAUUUGUUGAAUAAAUAAAGCCUAAGCUACCAAACUUGAGACCCAUUCUCUUAAAUGCCAAACCAUACUGGCAUCCCAGAAAAUGACUUCUUUCAUUAGGAGGGUGGGGGAACUAGAAGAUCUAAGGUCACUUACAAUUCUAGGACUAUGAUGCUAUGACAAAGACAUUAGGGCCUUAAUAGUAUGGUUUUCUUCUGCUGUUCUUUCCUCUCUUGCCACAUUUUACUACUUUCCUUGAAUAAGUAAGUGGUAAGCAUUAGGCAUGGAUGAGAUCAUAGGUCCAGGAAGCCAGCUCCUCCUUGAGUCAUCUCUAAUCCAUUUCUCAUGCUGUUACUGUUUGCUCUUUUUCCACAGAUGCCAUCUGACCCUGCAGUGGCUCCGUUGUCAGUGGAAAAAUAUAGUGCCAAUAAAAUCGGCAUUGUAAACCUGUGACUUGACCAAUAAAUACAAAAGUCACCAUAGUAUUGUCAUUAAAUCUCUUAAUGGAUAUAAGCAGUGAGUAUAUUGAAGUUAUUUCACAAACAAAGACAAAUUCACUGAUUUACUGCUAACCACCCCAAGCAAAGUUAAGGGAAAGCAUAAAACUAACCUUGCGGCUGGGCACGGUGGCUCACGCCUAUAAUCCCAGCACUUUGGGAGGCCGAGGCAGGUGGAUCACGAGGUCAGGAGUUCAAGACCAGCCUGACCUACAUAGUGAAACCCCAACUCAACUAAAAAUACAAAAAAAAUUAGUCAGGCCUGGUGGCACAUGCCUGUAAUCCCAGCUACUCCGGAGGCUGAGGCAGGAGAACCACUUGAACCCGGGAGGCGGAAGUUACAGUGAGCCGAGAUUGUGCCACUGCACUCCAGCCUGGGCAACAGAGCAAGACUCCAUCUCAAAAAUAAUAAUAACAAUAAUAAUAAUAAUAAUAAUAAUAAAGAAAAAAACUAACCUUGCAAGCAAGCAUAUUUAGGUACCAGAAACCAACAGAAUAAUACAGUGCUUUGAACUGGCAGAACUUAGUUCGGCCCAUUUAAUAGUAGUAGAAGACGUGGGAAUCUGGAGCUGGAGAAUUUGAAAGCUUUGGGAAAGGUUGGCAGGUCUCAUGACCAGAAGAGGGGACAGAGAAUCAUUCUGUGGCAUUGGCCUUGAGUAAGAUCCCUCAUUAUUUCUUGUGGUUCCAGAGAAUUCUCAAUAAAAGGAACUUAAAAUGAUACUAGACUAACAUAUCAAGCCAACAAGUAAUUAUAUUAUUAUGUUCUUGGAAGUAAGCAAGUUCUUAAAUAUGUGGUACUUUGAAACACCCUUUCAUCUGAAUCUUUUAUAUCCACCAUAAAUGUGCUCAUCUAUUUACUGUCAAAGUUGUAUUGGCACUUUUUUUUCCCUGUUAAGUCCUAAUUCUAGAUAUUUAGUUUAAAUAUUUCAAAGCCACACUUUGAACAAAUCCAAAAGAGACAUUUCUCUCUAUCCUAACUGCUAAUCUCUGAGUAUCUCAGAAUAGCAGUGAGGUUGUAAUUACCUAUAUAACCACCUUUUUAUAAAAGGCUAGUGAGGAAGCCAGUCAAAUCAUUAUAGGCUUUCCUUUCUCUGAAAUCUUUUUGAAGAACGUAACAGCUCAGCACACUGAUGGAUCUUAGGAAAUAAAGGUAGGUAUUGUCAACCCCUCCCUCCCUCCGUCUUACAGGCAAAGAAACUAAAGUCUAGAGAAGGCAAACAACUUGCCCCAAAUCAUACACCAUCAAAUGACAAAGCCUGAACUUGAGCCUGAGUCUUCUUAUCUCCAUAUCUGCAUUCUAACACACUAUGCUAUACUGCAAGGGAGAAACAGAGGUAGAAAUAGGAAAGUGGCAUUACUUUCUCCUAAUGCAGGUAACAGUUAGAACCCAGGAAAGAUCCACCACAGAUUCAUGCUUCAUUUGAAAGUUACCAAACUGUGUGUGCACAUACACAUUGCAAAUCCUCCCAAACUGUAAAUGUCUCUGCUAUGGUUUGGAUAUGGUUUGUUUAUCCCCACCAAAAUUCACAUUGAAAUUUCUUCCCCAGUGUAGUAGUGUUGGGAGGUGGGACCUAGUUGGGGAAUGGCUUGGUGCCACUCUCUAGGUAGUGGCUGAGUUCUUGCUGUGGCGAGAAUGAAUUAGUUCUUGCGGGAAUGAAUUCUUAAUAGUUCCUGCCAGAGUGAGUUUUUAGAAAGCCAGGAUGCCCCUUGGGUUUUGUCUCUUUUCACAUGUCCACUUUCCCUUUGACCUUCUCUGCUGUGUUUUGACCUAGCAUGAGACCUUCACCAGAAGCCAAGUAGAUGUCAGCACCGUGCUUCUCUAACUUUCCACCUGCAAAACUGUGAGCUAAAUAAACCUCUUUUCUUUAUAAAUUACCUAGCCUCUGUAUUCUGUUAUAGCAACACAAAAUGGACUAAGACGGUCUCCCAAACCAACUGUGGGCUUUUCUUAAAGGUCACCCGACAGGCCCCAAGGGAAAGAACGGCUUGGUCUAAAAUGUUUUAUAUUUCCUCUCACUUUUUAAACAUUGGAAAAUCCAUUUGGCUCCAAGAAAUGAAUAGUAAAAGGAGUUCUAACUACCUAGAGCCAAUAGAACGUAAUGGAAAAAAGGCAAGAAUAUGGCUGGACUUUAUUUUCUUUUUGCUUAGCACAUCCUGUAUUUAAUCUGAAAGGUAAAUAGGCCAUGCCCAACAUACCGACUCUUUUCAGGUGAAAUUAUCUAAGUUAUAAAAACAAGCAACAACUGUGUUUUCACUAUUCCUUAAUUCACGGCUGACAGAAAUCACUUCUAAAAUAAAUCAGAAGCAAAUAUUGUACACAAGGGAGCAAACUCACAAAUUUCCAUUACUUUGAUAACUGACUUGUGAAUUUAUUUCGCUUGAAUUAACAUUAUGUGGCAUUAUCUGAAAGAACGCAUUGCAAACCCAGAAAAGGAAAGUUAGAAUUUUCAUAUUUGGGUUAUUUAAAUAUACAGGCAAAAGAGAGGAAGGGAGAGACAGAUACUCUUUGCAUGUCAUAAACAGACAAACAUCCCUGAGAUAUUUAACCUUCAAAAUAGAACAAGUAAUUAUGCUACAUCUUUUUCUCUGUAACCCCAAGACAUCAACCUCUUUGGAUCUGUAAUACACCUCAUGUUCUAUGACGUCAGUCAUGCCAGUAAGAACUAUGCCCAAUUUUUCCUGUAUAUGCAGCUUCUCUUGCUUUAUAUUACACUUUAUUCUGCAUAUUAAAACUGAGCAAACAGUCUAGCAGAAACCAUCUUCACAGCUAGAACAUCCUUUAACAAGAACCUAGAUAAUAUUGAUGGCUUAUUUGAGACAACAUCUACCACAUUCCUUUCCCUGGAUGUUAUUUAAAUCAAGAAUUACCUACAUGAAAUAAUUUAAAGCAGUGUUCCUCAGAGCACUGGUUGUGGGCAAUAGAUGUUCCACUCAAAAGGGUGGCACGGUCAAAGGG
rnacentral:lncRNA from 10 species